AAAAGCUAAGCUCUGGAGACUCACCAUCAGCACGGAGGAGGUGCCGGGAGCCUGGCCGGAGGGUGAGCCACUAGCCGGUGGGAAAGAUCCUGCCAAGUGACCUGGUGUAAGCUGCCAAUGUGAGGGGUGUAAUCCUGCAAGCGUUUGAUCCACUGGCUUUGCUUACACUAUGGAGGUAACUCGUGCGUUGAAAGCUGAAAUUCAGCAGAAACUGAUGAGACCACCAUGGAGAAACGCUGGUUCACUGCACUGGCUAGUACCAGCUUGAUCUGGCUCCGGCUCUGGGAUGAGCAGCCUACAAACACAGUAAUGAAAAGAAAUAUUCUGAAAAGGAUGAGUCAGCUGGAGGCCGGUGGGGAGAGCAUGCGGGAUCUGACUGGAAUUUAAAAAGUUAUGAAGCUACAUGUUGUUUUGAGCCCUGCCAGUGGAGAAACCCAUACAUGCAAAACGCUUUGUCAUCUGGCAUAAUUAUGUUACUUUGCUGAUUAGCUGGUGAACUCUUUUCAAAAUGUUUUUAGACAAUAGUAAGUUCAUGAAAUAUAAAAACUUCCUGCUGACACCACGACAAGGGUCUGCUUUACGCGUUAUUGUGAACUGUCUUCCCCAGACCCCACCAGACUAUUGAACAGCCGUGAAAUUGUUCUCUUAUUAUGUAUUAGAUGACUUACCUAUUAAAACAGUUGAGGUAGCUUCACACCUUCACUUCUGUGCUGUAAGUACAUCUGUGCUGGUGUGAACUGUGGGUACACCCACACUUGUAGGGCAAACUGUAUUUCUGUGCUUGAUUUUUGCAUGGAAAACUGCAGUUUGGUGUGAAGCUUCUUCGCUCACUCUUCCAGCCAGCUACCAAGACGUCUUUCCUGCCUUCACUGGAAAGCAGUGCCCGGCAUUCGGAUAAUUUGCAAGACAGAUAACUUUCAAAGGUUUGAGGUUUUGGCUGUAAGGUUCUUUAAAUAAAUGACAUCAGAA